UACGAAGGGUGCAAGCGUUAUUCGGAAUCAUUGGGCGUAAAGCGCGCGCAGGCGGAUUAAUAAGUCAGGUGUGAAAUCUCGAGGCUCAACCUCGAAACUGCGCCUGAAACUAUUAGUCUAGAAUGUCGGAGGGGGCAGGGGAAUUUCACGUGUAGGGGGUAAAACCCGUAGAGAUGUGAAGGAACACCAGGAGGCGAAGGCGCCUGCCUGGACGACUAUUGACGCUGAGGCGCGAAAGCGUGGGGAGCAAACAGG
rnacentral:rRNA from 1 species